AGUGCUUUAGUUUAUGUUUAGAUCGUCUGUUUUCAAAACAGUAGGAGGAAAGUUUUCCAGGCUCUG
rnacentral:tRNA from 1 species